rnacentral:misc_RNA from 1 species
GUGAAUCAUCGAAUCUUUGAACGCAAAUUGCACUCUCCUCGGAGAGUAUGCCUGUUUGAGGGUCAGCCUAUAAAAAAUCAACAUCGUUGCUGUUUCGCGGUGGCGUUCUUCGGAAAUUGGGUAAUCUUAAAUCUUUUGUUUUUAGGCGCCUUAAAAUUUUCUUUGGUUUCCUUGAACGUUUUUAAGAUCUAUUUCUUUACACGUUUAAGUUAUCGUUUUUUACUAGACUUGACCAUAAUAUCGGAUCG